rnacentral:rRNA from 1 species
GACGAACGCUGGCGGCGUGCUUAACACAUGCAAGUCGAACGGAAAGGCCCUGCUUUUGUGGGGUGCUCGAGUGGCGAACGGGUGAGUAACACGUGAGUAACCUGCCUUUGACUUUGGGAUAACUUCAGGAAACUGGGGCUAAUACCGGAUAGGAGCUCCUGCUGCAUGGUGGGGGUUGGAAAGUUUCGGCGGUUGGGGAUGGACUCGCGGCUUAUCAGCUUGUUGGUGGGGUAGUGGCUUACCAAGGCUUUGACGGGUAGCCGGCCUGAGAGGGUGACCGGCCACAUUGGGACUGAGAUACGGCCCAGACUCCUACGGGAGGCAGCAGUGGGGAAUAUUGCACAAUGGGCGGAAGCCUGAUGCAGCAACGCCGCGUGCGGGAUGACGGCCUUCGGGUUGUAAACCGCUUUCGCCUGUGGCGAAGCGUGAGUGACGGUAAUGGGUAAAGAAGCACCGGCUAACUACGUG